rnacentral:miRNA from 1 species
CUAAAAUUUCUUCCUCAGCUUUAUUUACAACAUUUCACCUUGGCCAUAUAUAUAUAUAUAUAUAUAUAUAUGGCCAAGGUGAAAUGUUGUAAAUAAAGCUGAGGAAGAAAUUUUAGC